UACGUAGGUGGCAAGCGUUGUCCGGAAUUAUUGGGCGUAAAGCGCGCGCAGGUGGUUCCUUAAGUCUGAUGUGAAAGCCCACGGCUCAACCGUGGAGGGUCAUUGGAAACUGGGGAACUUGAGUGCAGAAGAGGAAAGUGGAAUUCCAAGUGUAGCGGUGAAAUGCGUAGAGAUUUGGAGGAACACCAGUGGCGAAGGCGACUUGCUGGUCUGUAACUGACACUGAGGCGCGAAAGCGUGGGGAGCAAACCGG
rnacentral:rRNA from 1 species